rnacentral:rRNA from 1 species
UACGUAGGGUGCGAGCGUUAAUCGGAAUUACUGGGCGUAAAGCGUGCGCAGGCGGUUUUGUAAGCCAGAUGUGAAAUCCCCGGGCUCAACCUGGGAAUGGCGUUUGGGACUGCAAGGCUGGAGUGUGGCAGAGGAGACUGGAAUUCCUGGUGUAGCAGUGAAAUGCGUAGAUAUCAGGAGGAAUACCGAUGGCGAAGGCAGGUCUCUGGGCUGACACUGACGCUCAUGCACGAAAGCGUGGGGAGCAAACAGG